UGUUUGUCAUUUUGAUCUAGAAUUUAUAAACAUAGGAAAGGAGAUGGAAGCUGCAUUUGAGAAUUUGAAUAAUGACUCUAUGAGUCUUAAAGCACAGUGAUGGAAGCACUUCUUUAAGAAUGACAGAACCAGAUCCCAGUGGGAUGUUCUCUCGGAUGGCAAUCCAGUUCAAGAGGUUGCUCACAUAUCCAACGGUGUAUCCAAUUCAACACUAUUUUUGGAUCGCUGCUCCACAACUGUUUGGGUCUUACAUAACAUUAAUACAUUGAUGAGAUGUGGGAGUGUUUGUGGUGGCAAAAUUGAAUCUGGGGGUUAGUUGGGAGCUUUGAAUGUGCUAAACCAUUAUUUACUAUUAUUGCCAAAGCAAAGCUCCUGUCAUCCCACUCCCAUUUUACAGCCAAUAUUGUUGUUGUUGUUAUUAAUUGGUUUUGUUUAGUUUAGUUUUGGGAGGAACUUUUCAUGUUCUAUAUCAUAGCUUC